rnacentral:rRNA from 1 species
GUGACUGCGUACCUUUUGUAUAAUGGGUCAGCGACUUAUAUUCUGUAGCAAGGUUAACCGAAUAGGGGAGCCGGAGGGAAACCGAGUCUUAAUUGGGCGUUAAGUUGCAGGGUAUAGACCCGAAACCCGGUGAUCUAGCCAUGGGCAGGUUGAAGGUUGGGUAACACUAACUGGAGGACCGAACCGACUAAUGUUGAAAAAUUAGCGGAUGACCUGUGGCUGGGGGUGAAAGGCCAAUCAAACCGGGAGAUAGCUGGUUCUCCCCGAAAGCUAUUUAGGUAGCGCCUCGUGAAUUCAUCUCCGGGGGUAGAGCACUGUUUCGGCUAGGGGGCCAUCCCGGCUUACCAACCCGAUGCAAACUGCGAAUACCGGAGAAUGUUAUCACGGGAGACACACGGCGGGUGCUAACGUCCGUCGUGAAGAGGGAAACAACCCAGACCGCCAGCUAAGGUCCCAAAGUCAUGGUUAAGUGGGAAACGAUGUGGGAAGGCCCAGACAGCCAGGAUGUUGGCUUAGAAGCAGCCAUCAUUUAAAGAAAGCGUAAUAGCUCACUGGUCGAGUCGGCCUGCGCGGAAGAUGUAACGGGGCUAAACCAUGCACCGAAGCUGCGGCAGCGACACUCAGGUGUUGUUGGGUAGGGGAGCGUUCUGUAAGCCUGUGAAGGUGGCCUGUGAGGGUUGCUGGAGGUAUCAGAAGUGCGAAUGCUGACAUAAGUAACGAUAAAGCGGGUGAAAAGCCCGCUCGCCGGAAGACCAAGGGUUCCUGUCCAACGUUAAUCGGGGCAGGGUGAGUCGACCCCUAAGGCGAGGCCGAAAGGCGUAGUCGAUGGGAAACGGGUUAAUAUUCCCGUACUUGGUGUUACUGCGAAGGGGGGACGGAGAAGGCUAUGUUGGCCGGGCGACGGUUGUCCCGGUUUAAGCGUGUAGGCUGGUUUUCCAGGCAAAUCCGGAAAAUCAAGGCUGAGGCGUGAUGACGAGGCACUACGGUGCUGAAGCAACAAAUGCCCUGCUUCCAGGAAAAGCCUCUAAGCAUCAGGUAACAUCAAAUCGUACCCCAAACCGACACAGGUGGUCAGGUAGAGAAUACCAAGGCGCUUGAGAGAACUCGGGUGAAGGAACUAGGCAAAAUGGUGCCGUAACUUCGGGAGAAGGCACGCUGACACGUAGGUGAAGUGAUUUACUCAUGGAGCUGAAGUCAGUCGAAGAUACCAGCUGGCUGCAACUGUUUAUUAAAAACACAGCACUGUGCAAACACGAAAGUGGACGUAUACGGUGUGACGCCUGCCCGGUGCCGGAAGGUUAAUUGAUGGGGUCAGCGCAAGCGAAGCUCCUGAUCGAAGCCCCGGUAAACGGCGGCCGUAACUAUAACGGUCCUAAGGUAGCGAAAUUCCUUGUCGGGUAAGUUCCGACCUGCACGAAUGGCGUAAUGAUGGCCAGGCUGUCUCCACCCGAGACUCAGUGAAAUUGAACUCGCUGUGAAGAUGCAGUGUACCCGCGGCAAGACGGAAAGACCCCGUGAACCUUUACUAUAGCUUGACACUGAACAUUGAGCCUUGAUGUGUAGGAUAGGUGGGAGGCUUUGAAG